GGGCGAAUUGGUAACCGGAUGUGU
rnacentral:siRNA from 1 species